GGCACAACAUAAGCACUGAAAAAAUGCAUCAAAUGCACAGUUUCAUCUGCAUGGAGCCAUUCGGUACAUGAAGAGAGGUAGGAAGUCCUCUUCCUUUUUUUGGGUGGAACAGCUAGGCCCCUCCAGUUCUCAACUGCAUCCCCAUCAGCCGGAAGAAUGUUUGUGGUAGCAUCAGAUCCCACAAAUGGAACAAAUCCGCAUAUUUCCCUUGAUGAAGGAAAGAUGACGAGCAAUGAAGCGAUCGACUCGAAGAGGCAAGUUGUCAUGUUUGAAAAGGCCAUGUUUUAUGUUUUUGAAAUCAGCUUCAACAGUGGCUGAACUUGCUGUGAUGCUGGUGCUUUGGAAGAGAGGGACCAUUAUUCCUGUCCAGAGUGG
ensembl:lncRNA